rnacentral:rRNA from 1 species
GGGAAUUUUCCGCAAUAGCACGAAAGUGUGACGGAGCGACGCCGCGUGUGUGAUGAAGGCUUUCGGGUCGUAAAGCACUGUUGUNNGGGAAGAAUAACUGAAUUCAGAGAAAGUUUUCAGCUUGACGGUACCUUACCAGAAAGGGAUGGCUAAAUACGUGCCAGCAGCCGCGGUAAUANA